rnacentral:tRNA from 1 species
AAUGAGGUGCCUGAAUAAAGGGUCACCUUGAUAGGGUGAAUUAAGUGGGCCGUCCCCACUCUCAUU